UACGUAGGGCGCAAGCGUUGUCCGGAAUUAUUGGGCGUAAAGAGCUCGUAGGCGGCUUGUCACGUCGGUUGUGAAAGCCCGGGGCUUAACCCCGGGUCUGCAUUCGAUACGGGCUAGCUAGAGUGUGGUAGGGGAGAUCGGAAUUCCUGGUGUAGCGGUGAAAUGCGCAGAUAUCAGGAGGAACACCGGUGGCGAAGGCGGAUCUCUGGGCCAUUACUGACGCUGAGGAGCGAAAGCGUGGGGAGCGAACAGG
rnacentral:rRNA from 1 species